UACAAGUGUAAAAAUUGGGUUGUUUACUUCCGGUGAUGAUUAUUUUCUUAUAUGCAAUGAAAUGUAGUGUGAAAUUUUCACUGUAUCACUGGAAAGGAUUAAACUUUACACAUGCAAAGUAUUUCUUUGGUUGAAAUAAAGUGUUAACCAUGUUCUGAAGAGCAUUCUGUUGAAAAAUCUUAUAUGUGAAUUGAUUUGCAGAUGACACUUCAGAAUUAAAACAAAAGAUAUCAAGUUUUGAUGAAAAAGGAAGGAAGGAGAAAAAAUGGACCAAAACAGACCAAAACAGACCUUCAAAUGAACUCUAAAAGGUGCAAUAAAAUUGUUUAUCAUCUUAAAGUUGUCUUUUGUAUUCUAUUUAAUUGUUUGAAUGCAUAGAUCAUGAGUUUAUGAUCAGA